rnacentral:rRNA from 1 species
UGGGGAAUAUUGCACAAUGGGCGCAAGCCUGAUGCAGCCAUGCCGCGUGUGUGAAGAAGGCCUUCGGGUUGUAAAGCACUUUCAGCGGGGAGGAAGGCGUUAAGGUUAAUAACCUUGGCGAUUGACGUUACCCGCAGAAGAAGCACCGGCUAACUCCGUGCCAGCAGCCGCGGUAAUACGGAGGGUGCAAGCGUUAAUCGGAAUUACUGGGCGUAAAGCGCACGCAGGCGGUCUGUCAAGUCGGAUGUGAAAUCCCCGGGCUCAACCUGGGAACUGCAUUCGAAACUGGCAGGCUAGAGUCUUGUAGAGGGGGGUAGAAUUCCAGGUGUAGCGGUGAAAUGCGUAGAGAUCUGGAGGAAUACCGGUGGCGAAGGCGGCCCCCUGGACAAAGACUGACGCUCAGGUGCGAAAGCGUGGGGAGCAAACAGGA